UACGGAGGGUGCGAACGUUAAUCGGAAUCACUGGGCGUAAAGCGCGCGUAGGCGGUUUGUUAAGUGGGAUGUGAAAUCCCCGGGCUUAACCUGGGAAUUGCAUUUCAAACUGGCCGACUAGAGUACGGUAGAGGGAGGUAGAAUUUCCUGUGUAGCGGUGAAAUGCGUAGAUAUAGGAAGGAAUACCAGUGGCGAAGGCGGCCUCCUGGAUCGAUACUGGACGCUGAGGCGCGAA
rnacentral:rRNA from 1 species